rnacentral:tRNA from 1 species
UCCCUGUUGGCUUAGACGAUAAGGAGUCUGCCUGCAAUGCAGGAGACCCAGGUUUGAUCCCUGGGUUGGGAC